rnacentral:rRNA from 1 species
UACGUAGGUGGCAAGCGUUGUCCGGAUUUACUGGGUGUAAAGGGCGUGUAGCCGGGUUGACAAGUCAGAUGUGAAAUCCUGCGGCUUAACCGCAGAACUGCAUUUGAAACUGUUGAUCUUGAGUACUGGAGAGGCAGACGGAAUUCCUAGUGUAGCGGUGAAAUGCGUAGAUAUUAGGAGGAACACCAGUGGCGAAGGCGGUCAACUGGACAGCAACUGACGCUGAGGCGCGAAAGCGUGGGGAGCAAACAGG